rnacentral:lncRNA from 1 species
AUACUUACAUCACAUGAGAGAAGCCUUAAUGCAGACAGAUGAAAGGAGAGGGCUAGGGCUCAGUUGUUCUUUCAAAAGAACUCCAUUUGUGUGUAUGGUUGAUGCACUCACAUGUGGAGGCCGGGGUCGACCUGUCGUAUUUCAAUUGCUUAUCCGUCUUACUUUUUGAGACAGAGUCUCACAGAACCUGGAGCUCGCUGAUACAGCUAGACCGGCAAGUCAGAGCCCCAGGGGUCCUCUUAUCUACCUCUCCAGUGCUACAAUCACAGAUGGGCUCACACCAUUGUGUGCUACUUUAUUUGGGUACUGGGGACCUGGAUUCAGGCCCUCGGCUAUCUCCCUAGCCCAAGAACCUCAUUUGUCUCUGUCAUCACAGUGUCUAGAAUGUACCCUGACACAGUAGGUGUCUGCCUUUACACAGAGAGGAAACUGAUUAUCAGCGUGUCUCUGUGGACGGCAGGUAGAGAAUCCUGGUAGACGAGUGCCUCCUCUGGCUAUAUGGCUAAGUACUUCCUCAUGGAGUAGGGCUAAAAGUCAUGAAGCUCGAGAGCUAAAGAAAACCAUUCUAUUCUUCCUUCAGUGUCGAAUACUGCAAGGCAGGGUGUCAGUGAGGCCUGGCAUGUGCCAUCCUCACAAUGGGGAGGAUGGGAGGCCGAUGGGCACCAAUGUUUAUAACAAGAAGAAAAGACAUGUUAAGUUGGGGUAAAGGAAGACAAAGGAAGAUAUAUAGAUAUUUAAAAAAAAAAAAGCAAAACAAAACAAAUGGUACCAAAGGCAA